rnacentral:rRNA from 1 species
UACGUAGGGACCAAGCGUUGUUCGGAUUUACUGGGCGUAAAGGGCGCGUAGGCGGCUUGACAAGUCACUUGUGAAAUCUCCGGGCUUAACUCGGAACGGCCAAGUGAAACUGUCAUGCUAGAGUGCAGAAGGGGCAAUCGGAAUUCUUGGUGUAGCGGUGAAAUGCGUAGAUAUCAAGAGGAACACCAGCGGCGAAGGCGGCUAACUGGUCCAGCACUGACGCUGAGGUGCGAAAGCGUGGGGAGCAAACAGG